GUGUUAGUGGAAGCGUCUGGAAAGGCGCGCGAUACAGGGUGACAGCCCCGUACACAAAAAUGCACAUGCUGUGAGCUCGAUGAGUAGGGCGGGACACGUGGUAUCCUGUCUGAAUAUGGGGGGACCAUCCUCCAAGGCUAAAUACUCCUGACUGACCGAUAGUGAACCAGUACCGUGAGGGAAAGGCGAAAAGAACCCCGGCGAGGGGAGUGAAAAAGAACCUGAAACCGUGUACGUACAAGCAGUGGGAGCACGCUUAGGCGUGUGACUGCGUACCUUUUGUAUAAUGGGUCAGCGACUUAUAUUCUGUAGCAAGGUUAACCGAAUAGGGGAGCCGAAGGGAAACCGAGUCUUAACUGGGCGUUAAGUUGCAGGGUAUAGACCCGAAACCCGGUGAUCUAGCCAUGGGCAGGUUGAAGGUUGGGUAACACUAACUGGAGGACCGAACCGACUAAUGUUGAAAAAUUAGCGGAUGACUUGUGGCUGGGGGUGAAAGGCCAAUCAAACCGGGAGAUAGCUGGUUCUCCCCGAAAGCUAUUUAGGUAGCGCCUCGUGAACUCAUCUCCGGGGGUAGAGCACUGUUUCGGCAAGGGGGUCAUCCCGACUUACCAACCCGAUGCAAACUGCGAAUACCGGAGAAUGUUAUCACGGGAGACACACGGCGGGUGCUAACGUCCGUCGUGAAGAGGGAAACAACCCAGACCGCCAGCUAAGGUCCCAAAGUCAUGGUUAAGUGGGAAACGAUGUGGGAAGGCCCAGACAGCCAGGAUGUUGGCUUAGAAGCAGCCAUCAUUUAAAGAAAGCGUAAUAGCUCACUGGUCGAGUCGGCCUGCGCGGAAGAUGUAACGGGGCUAAACCAUGCACCGAAGCUGCGGCAGCGACGCUUAUGCGUUGUUGGGUAGGGGAGCGUUCUGUAAGCCUGUGAAGGUGUACUGUGAGGUAUGCUGGAGGUAUCAGAAGUGCGAAUGCUGACAUAAGUAACGAUAAAGCGGGUGAAAAGCCCGCUCGCCGGAAGACCAAGGGUUCCUGUCCAACGUUAAUCGGGGCAGGGUGAGUCGACCCCUAAGGCGAGGCCGAAAGGCGUAGUCGAUGGGAAACAGGUUAAUAUUCCUGUACUUGGUGUUACUGCGAAGGGGGGACGGAGAAGGCUAUGUUGGCCGGGCGACGGUUGUCCCGGUUUAAGCGUGUAGGCUGGUUUUCCAGGCAAAUCCGGAAAAUCAAGGCUGAGGCGUGAUGACGAGGCACUACGGUGCUGAAGCAACAAAUGCCCUGCUUCCAGGAAAAGCCUCUAAGCAUCAGGUAACAUCAAAUCGUACCCCAAACCGACACAGGUGGUCAGGUAGAGAAUACCAAGGCGCUUGAGAGAACUCGGGUGAAGGAACUAGGCAAAAUGGUGCCGUAACUUCGGGAGAAGGCACGCUGAUAUGUAGGUGAAGCGACUUGCUCGUGGAGCUGAAAUCAGUCGAAGAUACCAGCUGGCUGCAACUGUUUAUUAAAAACACAGCACUGUGCAAACACGAAAGUGGACGUAUACGGUGUGACGCCUGCCCGGUGCCGGAAGGUUAAUUGAUGGGGUCAGCGCAAGCGAAGCUCUUGAUCGAAGCCCCGGUAAACGGCGGCCGUAACUAUAACGGUCCUAAGGUAGCGAAAUUCCUUGUCGGGUAAGUUCCGACCUGCACGAAUGGCGUAAUGAUGGCCAGGCUGUCUCCACCCGAGACUCAGUGAAAUUGAACUCGCUGUGAAGAUGCAGUGUACCCGCGGCAAGACGGAAAGACCCCGUGAACCUUUACUAUAGCUUGACACUGAACAUUGAGCCUUGAUGUGUAGGAUAGGUGGGAGGCUUUGAAGUGUGGACGCCAGUCUGCAUGGAGCCGACCUUGAAAUACCACCCUUUAAUGUUUGAUGUUCUAACGUUGACCCGUAAUCCGGGUUGCGGACAGUGUCUGGUGGGUAGUUUGACUGGGGCGGUCUCCUCCUAAAGAGUAACGGAGGAGCACGAAGGUUGGCUAAUCCUGGUCGGACAUCAGGAGGUUAGUGCAAUGGCAUAAGCCAGCUUGACUGCGAGCGUGACGGCGCGAGCAGGUGCGAAAGCAGGUCAUAGUGAUCCGGUGGUUCUGAAUGGAAGGGCCAUCGCUCAACGGAUAAAAGGUACUCCGGGGAUAACAGGCUGAUACCGCCCAAGAGUUCAUAUCGACGGCGGUGUUUGGCACCUCGAUGUCGGCUCAUCACAUCCUGGGGCUGAAGUAGGUCCCAAGGGUAUGGCUGUUCGCCAUUUAAAGUGGUACGCGAGCUGGGUUUAGAACGUCGUGAGACAGUUCGGUCCCUAUCUGCCGUGGGCGCUGGAGAACUGAGGGGGGCUGCUCCUAGUACGAGAGGACCGGAGUGGACGCAUCACUGGUGUUCGGGUUGUCAUGCCAAUGGCACUGCCCGGUAGCUAAAUGCGGAAGAGAUAAGUGCUGAAAGCAUCUAAGCACGAAACUUGCCCCGAGAUGAGUUCUCCCUGACCCUUUAAGGGUCCUGAAGGAACGUUGAAGACGACGACGUUGAUAGGCCGGGUGUGUAAGCGCAGCGAUGCGUUGAGCUAACCGGUACUAAUGAACCGUGAGGCUUAACCU
rnacentral:rRNA from 1 species